rnacentral:lncRNA from 1 species
AAGCCGAUUGGUUGAACAACAGCACAAGUGUAAUGGAGCAGAAGUUAAAGAACAUGACUUUAGCAAUUGGAUUCCCGGAUAAUAUUUUGAAUACCACAUAUCUUGAUGGUCUGUACGAACACGUACCCAGAUUCAGUGCCAAUACAACUUUAUUCGAAAUGCUGUACCAUUUUAAACAAAACACAUACUGGAAGCAAUUGGCUUUGUUACGAGUACCAAGGCA